rnacentral:rRNA from 1 species
GACGAACGCUGGCGGCGUGCUUAACACAUGCAAGUCGAACGGAAAGGCCCUGCUUUUGUGGGGUGCUCGAGUGGCGAACGGGUGAGUAACACGUGAGUAACCUGCCCUUGACUUUGGGAUAACUUCAGGAAACUGGGGCUAAUACAGGAUAGGAGCUCCUGCUGCAUGGUGGGGGUUGGAAAGUUUCGGCGGUUGGGGAUGGACUCGCGGAUUAUCAGCUUGUUGGUGGGGUAGUGGCUUACCAAGGCUUUGACGGGUAGCCGGCCUGAGAGGGUGACCGGCCACAUGGGUACUGCGAUACGGCCCAGACUCCUACGGGAGGCAGCAGUGGGGAAUAUUGCACAAUGGGCGGAAGCCUGAUGCAGCAACGCCGCGUGCGGGAUGACGGCCUUCUGGUUGUGAACCGCUUUCGCCUGUGACGAAGCUUGAGUGACGGUAAUGGGUGAAGAAGCACCGGCUAACUACGUG